rnacentral:rRNA from 1 species
UACGGGGGGGGCAAGCGUUGUUCGGAAUUACUGGGCGUAAAGGGCUCGUAGGCGGCCAACUAAGUCGGAUGUGAAAUCCCCAGGCUUAACCUGGGAACUGCAUCCGAUACUGGAUGGCUUGAAUCCGGGAGAGGGAUGCAGAAUUCCAGGUGUAGCGGUGAAAUGCGUAGAUAUCUGGAGGAAUACCAGUGGCGAAGGCGGCUUUCUGGUCUGUAACUGACGCUGAGGCGCGAAAGCGUGGGGAGCAAACAGG